rnacentral:rRNA from 1 species
GAGGAAGGUGGGGAUGACGUCAAGUCCUCAUGGCCCUUAUGUCCUGGGCUACACACGUGCUACAAUGGCGGUGACAGUGGGAAGCCAGGCAGCGAUGCCGAGCUGAUCCUCAAAAGCCGUCUCAGUUCGGAUUGCACUCUGCAACUCGGGUGCAUGAAGGUGGAAUCGCUAGUAAUCGUGGAUCAGCAUGCCACGGUGAAUACGUUCCCGGGCCUUGUACACACCGCCCGUCACACCAUGGGAUUUGGUUUGACCUUAAGUUGGUGCGCUAACCGCAAGGAGGCAGCCAACCACGGUCGGGUUAGAGACUGGGGUGAAGUCGUAACAAGGUAGCCGUAA